GCGCUUCCUGCGGGCUGCGCUCGGCCCGGCUGCCCGUCAGCGCGCAGAUUAAGGCUGACAGCGCCCUGCCCGGCGCGGCUCGCGCGGCUC
rnacentral:miRNA from 1 species